rnacentral:rRNA from 1 species
AACAAACGCUGGCGGCGUGCCUAACACAUGCAAGUCGUACGAGAAAGGGUCCUUCGGGGCCUGAGUAAAGUGGCGCACGGGUGAGUAACGCGUGGAUAAUCUGCCCUUCAGUUGGGAACAACUCAUCGAAAGGUGGGCUAAUACCGAAUAACACUGCAAGACUUUGGUCGAGCAGUCAAAGAGAGCCUCUGCUUGCAAGCCCUCGCUGAAGGAUGAGUCCGCGUACCAUUAGCUAGUUGGCAGGGUAAUGGCCUACCAAGGCGACGAUGGUUAGCUGGUCUGAGAGGAUGAUCAGCCACACUGGAACUGAGACACGGUCCAGACUCCUACGGGAGGCAGCAGUGAGGAAUCUUGCGCAAUGGGGGAAACCCUGACGCAGCAACGCCGCGUGAGUGAGGAAGGCCUUCGGGUCGUAAAGCUCUGUCAGUUGGAAAGAAAUGCCUGAGAGUUAAUACCUUUCAGGUUUGACGGUACCAACAGAGGAAGCACCGGCUAACUCCGUGCCAGCAGCCGCGGUAAUACGGGGGGUGCAAGCGUUGUUCGGAAUUAUUGGGCGUAAAGAGCGUGUAGGCGGCCGGAUGUGUCAGAUGUGAAAGCCCUGGGCUUAACCCAGGAAGUGCAUUUGAAACUGUCCGGCUUGAGUAUGGGAGAGG